GACCGGCGCACGGGUGAGUAACACGUAUGCAACCUGCCUACUACAGGGGGAUAGCCCGGAGAAAUUCGGAUUAAUACCGCAUAAAACAGGGAUCCCGCAUGGGAAUAUUUGUUAAAGAUUUAUCGGUAGUAGAUGGGCAUGCGUUCCAUUAGUUUGUUGGUGAGGUAACGGCUCACCAAGACUGCGAUGGAUAGGGGAACUGAGAGGUUGAUCCCCCACACUGGAACUGAGACACGGUCCAG
rnacentral:rRNA from 1 species